rnacentral:rRNA from 1 species
GGUAUAGACCCGAAACCCGGUGAUCUAGCCAUGGGCAGGUUGAAGGUUGGGUAACACUAACUGGAGGACCGAACCGACUAAUGUUGAAAAAUUAGCGGAUGACUUGUGGCUGGGGGUGAAAGGCCAAUCAAACCGGGAGAUAGCUGGUUCUCCCCGAAAUCUAUUUAGGUAGAGCCUUGAGCGGACACCUUCGGGGGUAGAGCACUGUUUCGGCUAGGGGUCCAUCCCGGAUUACCAACCCGAUGCAAACUACGAAUACCGAAGAGUGAUACUCAGGAGACACACGGCGGGUGCUAACGUCCGUCGUGGAGAGGGAAACAACCCAGACCGCCAGCUAAGGUCCCAAAGUCUAUAUUAAGUGGGAAACGAAGUGGGAAGGCUUAGACAGCUAGGAUGUUGGCUUAGAAGCAGCCAUCAUUUAAAGAAAGCGUAAUAGCUCACUAGUCGAGUCGGCCUGCGCGGAAGAUGUAACGGGGCUCAAAUAUAGCACCGAAGCUGCGGCAUCAGUAGCAAUACUGUUGGGUAGGGGAGCGUUCUGUAAGCGGAUGAAGGUUAAUCGAGAGGUUAGCUGGACGUAUCAGAAGUGCGAAUGCUGACAUAAGUAACGAUAAAACGGGUGAAAAACCCGUUCGCCGGAAGACCAAGGGUUCCUGUCCAACGUUAAUCGGGGCAGGGUGAGUCGGCCCCUAAGGCGAGGCUGAAAAGCGUAGUCGAUGGGAAACGGGUUAAUAUUCCCGUACUUGGAUAAACUGCGAUGUGGGGACGGAGCAGGUUAGGUUAUCGCACUGUUGGAUAUGUGCGUUUAAGUUGGUAGGUGUGAAGUUUAGGCAAAUCCGGACUUCUUUAACACUGAGAGAUGAUGACGAGGCUCUACGGAGCUGAAGUAACCGAUACCACACUUCCAGGAAAAGCCACUAAGCUUCAGGUUUAUCUAAACCGUACUGAAAACCGACACAGGUGGUCAGGUAGAGAAUACUCAGGCGCUUGAGAGAACUCGGGUGAAGGAACUAGGCAAAAUAGCACCGUAACUUCGGGAGAAGGUGCGCCGGCGUAGAUUGUAAGGGCUUGCCCCUGAAGGUUGAACCGGUCGAAGAUACCAGCUGGCUGCAACUGUUUAUUAAAAACACAGCACUCUGCAAACACGAAAGUGGACGUAUAGGGUGUGAUGCCUGCCCGGUGCUGGAAGGUUAAUUGAUGGUGUAAUCGAAAGAGAAGCUCCUGAUCGAAGCCCCAGUAAACGGCGGCCGUAACUAUAACGGUCCUAAGGUAGCGAAAUUCCUUGUCGGGUAAGUUCCGACCUGCACGAAUGGCAUAAUGAUGGCCAGGCUGUCUCCACCCGAGACUCAGUGAAAUUGAAAUCGCCGUGAAGAUGCGGUGUACCCGCGGCUAGACGGAAAGACCCCGUGAACCUUUACUAUAGCUUGACACUGAACAUUGAAUUUUGAUGUGUAGGAUAGGUGGGAGACUUAGAAGUAGUCACGCCAGUGAUUAUGGAGUCGUCCUUGAAAUACCACCCUUUAACGUUUGAUGUUCUAACGAAGAUUACGAAACGUGGUCUCGGACAGUGUCUGGUGGGUAGUUUGACUGGGGCGGUCUCCUCCCAAAGAGUAACG